rnacentral:rRNA from 1 species
UACAGAGGGUGCAAGCGUUGCUCGGAAUCAUUGGGCGUAAAGGGCAGGUAGGUGGUCUCGUUUGUCUGGGGUGAAAGCCUUGAGCUUAACUCAAGAAGUGCCCCGGAAACGGCGAGACUAGAGUCUUGGAGAGGGUCGUGGAAUUCCAGGUGUAGCGGUGAAAUGCGUAGAUAUCUGGAGGAAUACCGGUGGCGAAGGCGGCAUCCUGGACCGGCAUUGACGCUGAGGAGCGAAAGCUAGGGGAGCAAACGGG